GCCGACGUAGCCCAACGGCAGAGGCCCCGCGUUUAGGGCGCGGCAAGUGUGGGUUCGAAUCCCACCGUCGGCA
rnacentral:tRNA from 1 species